rnacentral:rRNA from 1 species
AACGCUAGCGACAGGCUUAACACAUGCAAGUCGAGGGGUAACAGGGUAGCAAUACCGCUGACGACCGGCGCACGGGUGAGUAACGCGUAUGCAACCUGCCUAUAACUGUGGAAUAGCUCCCUGAAAGGGGAAUUAACACCGCAUAACACUAUUGAUUCGCAUGGAUUGGUAGUUAAAUGUAGCGAUACAGGUUAUAGAUGGGCAUGCGUGACAUUAGCUAGUUGGUGAGGUAACGGCUCACCAAGGCUACGAUGUCUAGGGGUUCUGAGAGGAAGGUCCCCCACACUGGUACUGAGACACGGACCAGACUCCUACGGGAGGCAGCAGUGAGGAAUAUUGGUCAAUGGGCGCAAGCCUGAACCAGCCAUGUCGCGUGCAGGAAGACUGCCCUAUGGGUUGUAAACUGCUUUUAUAGUAGAAGAAACACAUCUACGCGUAGAUGUCUGCCAGUAUACUAUGAAUAAGCAUCGGCUAACUCCGUG